UACGUAGGGUGCGAGCGUUGUCCGGAAUUAUUGGGCGUAAAGAGCUCGUAGGCGGCUUGUCGCGUCGGAUGCGAAAGCCCGGGGCUUAACCCCGGGUCUGCAUUCGAUACGGGCAGGCUAGAGUUCGGUAGGGGAGAUCGGAAUUCCUGGUGUAGCGGUGAAAUGCGCAGAUAUCAGGAGGAACACCGGUGGCGAAGGCGGAUCUCUGGGCCGAUACUGACGCUGAGGAGCGAAAGCGUGGGGAGCGAACAGG
rnacentral:rRNA from 1 species